rnacentral:rRNA from 1 species
CAAUAGCGUAUAUUAAAGUUGUUGCAGUUAAAAAGCUCGUAGUUGGAUUUGUGGUUCGUCCCGCCGGCUGGGUCAUUGACUUUUGCUGUGCUGGUCGUCCAUCCUUGGGUGGAAUCUGUGUGGCAUUAGGUUGUCGCGCAGGGGAUGCCCAUCGUUUACUGUGAAAAAAUUAGAGUGUUCAAAGCAGGCUUAUGCCGUUGAAUAUAUUAGCAUGGAAUAAUAAUAUAGGACCUUGGUACUAUUUUGUUGGUUUGCGCACUGAGGUAAUGAUUAAUAGGGACAGUUGGGGGUAUUCGUAUUCCAUUGUAAGAGGUGAAAUUCUUGGAUUUUUGGAAGACGAACUACUGCGAAAGCAUUUACCAAGGAUGUUUUCAUUA